rnacentral:tRNA from 1 species
GAGAAAGACAUAGUGGAUAUGAUGUUGGCUUGAAACCAAUAUAAGGGGGUUCGAUUCCUUCCUUUCUU